AUCACUCGACGUCCGCCGUUGACGACCUGUUCACAAAAAGUUCAUGCCGAAAGUUCACUGCAAUUGUCACGUCAAAUCAUCGAUUCGCUUCGAAAAGCAAAUGGCCCUCUCUUCGUCGCCGUCGAUGAGAAGGCAGUCGACGCCACCGUGAUUCCUCUCACGGGAUGUGCUCUCGGAGGCGUCCGUCGCCACCGUCUUGCAUGGAACAGCGCUGUGGACUCUGACGUCAGUCGUGACAGCGAUUGCGCUCGGUGGGCAGUGCGUCAUCAAUGUGCACGAAGGGAGCAGAGACAGGUCGCAGGUUUUCGAGUUGUUCUCCUGCCCAGGUUUUCAUCUGAGCACCUGUUACAACGUGAACUACGUCGCGUUCCACAAAUCUCUUCAUCGUGCGAGACAAUGUGCGUCUGCGUGUGCAUCGAACGACGCAGCCGCUGACGGGAUCGCCCCGACGAGGCCGGUGAUCGUAGAGUAGAAACUGUGUGCGGAAACGACAGCGUGCAUUUAUGGGAACCUCUUGAACUAGUAUCGGGCAUGUGCCGAGCGAUGAAACAAGCGUUCGCGCGCUGCAGGCAAGUCCUCGAAGGUGCAAGUGUCGCGGACAGCUGUGGACACGAUGCCGGCCUCAUGAGUCACCGCCACGAACGGCGCACAGAGGCUAUACACGAAGAAAAUGAAAUUGGCAAGCGAAGCGCAGAACGCCACCUCCGUCCGCCUAUAAAAUGCAUCGACAACAGUCGGAAGCCUCGAAAUAGGAGCUUUGGCGCUGCGAUCAGGAUUCCUCGACCGCUGGCAACGGAGCUAUAGAGACAGGAGGGAGGGCAAUGAGGCAGUCGCAGAAAUAACCGCAAUGGCUGGUGCAGGUCAUUGCAGGAGGACACCCAAACUUUAGUGUAAGCGCUGAAGUGCCCUGUGCGGAAUCAUUCUAUUUAAGUCUGACAUUCGUGAAAGUUGAAGAAGAGAAUCGGCUGAACGCAGAGAUGCCAAGUCAGUGCUAACUGACAGAGACGGCUCGCGCUCUAUACAUCAGCUUUCCGCUCGCCAGACAGCCAGCGCCGCACUUACAUGUCUAUCAGCUACGAUUACUCGAGUUCAUGGAGAACCAGGGGCCAAAUGUCGCUCUCGCUGAGAAGUGCUCACACUCCAGUCGAAAUCUGGGUACCCAAGACUUUGGAGCAGAAGCGUUCACUUCGCGGGCAGAAAAACAACCGCCUACGAGAUGCCUCCGAUGCCAGUUGCGACUCCAGGGUGUACUGUCGCAACGCAGACCAGUUCUGCCGAACUCGAAACGCGCCUCUGUGUCGAGGCGUGGCAGAACUCCAUCUGAAGCAGGAAUAUGCGAAGCGAACGAAUUGUUUCAUGUGGGCACCCUGCACCGGAAUCUGCUUCGAAUGGAUACGAACGAGUGUUACUUCCAAACGAUCCUUCAACUAUUCUGAAAAAACCAGGUUUGUUCGCAAAACCAGCUCGCGAGCAACAAAAACAUAAACGCGUAUAGUUCAACA